AAACAAAAAGUAGAAUAGAAGACAAAAUGUCAGUGAAAAAAAAAAUUGGAGUAAAGUAAAGAGAACGAUACCCUCGUUGUGUUCAUCUGUUAUGAGUUCGUGUUGUAGAGCACUUGGUUUCAGUGAGCAAUUGUGCUAGGACGACAACUUUCUUAUUUAAUUCUCUCAAAGAGCACUCCAUGUUUUAUAAGGUGUCAUCUAUCAUGUAGAUGUGUAGUAGUGUGUGGUCCAUGCAUUCUUUGAAGUUGGGUGAUGGAGGAGCCGGUGUGGCUUACACUUGACGCUCGCACUACUUGCUGUAGAUUCGUCUGUCUCAUGGCACUAGAAGCCCAGUUGGGGCAAAGCAAGGGAGGCCAUAUUUAAGUUCUAGAAGGUCCAUGUCAUCUGAAGACUGAAGAUCUAAAGAUGUCUGAGGGCAAAAAAUAUGUAGGUCCAUCUUAUCAUCGUAGAAUCG
rnacentral:lncRNA from 1 species